AUCAAGUCGGAUUACACUGUCUUCCGUCAAACAGUAUUUUAUUGUGAUUGGGUUAGAGUGGAAGACAAGACCAAUGGUUGCAUUGUUGAUCCCGAGUCAAAUUUGGUAUUGGUAAACAUGGAGAAAUUGAAAGUACAUGAGAAGGAAGGAGAUGAACGAUUCAUACUUGCAUCCCAAUUAAGUCAAGUCAUCUACUCCAAGGAUCAAAAAAGGCCUGGAUGGUAUGUUAUAUGUUAUUUUAAUGACACCAAAAAGAUUGACGAAAGAUGUGGACACACUAGAAGAUCCGAUUAUGUUUUCCUCUUCUAGGGGCGAGAAUGCAAAUUUAGAAUAUAUUCUAAAGGAAAUUGACUAUGAGUUGUAGACAAUUUUUUUUGUUAUCAUACUCUAUGUUAAUUCAUUUGCCAUUUUAUAUGAUGUAAAAAAAUAUCUUGAUAAAUGAAUUUCUAUUUGCAUGAUGAUUUCUUCUUAUAUAAUUUUAUGUCCACAAACACGCUUAGACGUGUCAAUAGUAGAGGAAAACAUGUCAACUUCACAAGCAUACAUAUCAAAAAAUGCAGGAACUUCUUCGUCAUCAAAAAAUAAACUUGUGAUCAACUUAAAUGCAUUUGGUCGACCUGUGGGCGAACACUUGCAUAGGUUGGCUAUAAGAAGUGGAGAUCUGGUUCGCACCCAUGUCUCUAUUGCCAUAAAGGAUUGACGUGCAAUGCCAAAGAGUAAAAAAGAAGAACUUUGGAAGCUCUUACAGGACGAGUUUGUUAUUCCUCAGUCUUACAAGGAUAAAUGCUUUAAAAGCAUGUCUGAUAUGUUUAGGAAGUACAAGAUCAAAUUGAGGACAGAGUACCUCGAUCCCCAUACAAAUCAUGAUGAUAAAUUAAACAACCGUCCACCAAAAGUUAGGCCUGAAGAUUGGGAAUCGUUCAUUCAACAUAAUUCAGAUCCCAAAACUGUAAAACAAAGGAAAAAAAAUGCUUAGAAUAGGAAGAAUCCGAAAAUUUAUCAUACGAGUGGCAGGCAUGGCUACGCGAGAAUCGAGAAAGAAAUGAAACGCCAAAAGAAAGAUGGCGGCACCCCGAUUAGGACUGAAGUGUGGAUCAAAGCCCAUAUGAGAAAUGAUGGUUCUAUUCAAAAUAACGUGUCUUCACAUGUGGACGAAGUCAAAGAAUUACUUUCUAGCCAAGAAAGUAAUUCUCACGACAUCCUCAACGAUCCAUUGACUCAAGUAUUUGGUCCUGAUACAAGGGGUCAUGUUUGAGGUGUUGGGACCACCGUUUCCCGAACACAUAUUAGGGGGUCCGCUGCAACUCUUGAAAAUAUGUCUUCGUAUAAAGGGAUAAUAGAUGAGCAAUCGUUCACAAUUCAAAAGCUAUCGUCCAAAAUAGAUUUUCUUACGCGCGAAAUUGGGGGUAUCAAAGAGAUGAUAUAGCAGCAACGCAUGGCUUCAGGCUUCAAAGCAAACACAUCGGUUCAAUCGGAGAAUCCACAAUUGACUGGUGGACCUUCAGUUGGGAAUCGUCAAUGCGUAGAGAGAAUGCGGCCAUGCCAGUUGUACAAUUGGCGUAGCGAGCUCGUUUCUCAAGGGAGACUUGUUUUGGU